rnacentral:rRNA from 1 species
UGGGGAAUUUUGGACAAUGGGGGAAACCCUGAUCCAGCCAUCCCGCGUGUGCGAUGAAGGCCUUCGGGUUGUAAAGCACUUUUGGCAGGAAAGAAACGUCAUGGGUUAAUACCCCGUGAAACUGACGGUACCUGCAGAAUAAGCACCGGCUAACUACGUGCCAGCAGCCGCGGUAAUACGUAGGGUGCAAGCGUUAAUCGGAAUUACUGGGCGUAAAGCGGGCGCAGGCGGUUCGGAAAGAAAGAUGUGAAAUCCCAGAGCUCAACUUUGGAACUGCAUUUUUAACUACCGGGCUAGGGUGGGUCAGAGGGAGGUGGAAUUCCGCGUGUAGCAGUGAAAUGCGUAGAUAUGCGGAGGAACACCGAUGGCGAAGGCAGCCUCCUGGGAUAACACUGACGCGCAUGCACGAAAGCGUGGGGAGCAAACAGG